UACGUAGGUGGCGAGCGUUGUCCGGAUUUACUGGGCGUAAAGGGAGCGUAGGCGGACUUUUAAGUGAGAUGUGAAAUACUCGGGCUCAACUUGAGUGCUGCAUUUCAAACUGGAAGUCUAGAGUGCAGGAGAGGAGAAUGGAAUUCCUAGUGUAGCGGUGAAAUGCGUAGAGAUUAGGAAGAACAACAGUGGCGAAGGCGAUUCUCUGGACUGUAACUGACGCUGAGGCUCGAAAGCGUGGGGAGCAAACAGG
rnacentral:rRNA from 1 species